rnacentral:tRNA from 1 species
GCCUCGCUGGCUCAGUUGGAAGAGCUGCAACUGUUGAUCUCAGGGUCGUGGGUUCAAGCCCCACGUUGGGUG